rnacentral:rRNA from 1 species
GACAGAGGGUGCAAACGUUGCUCGGAAUUACUGGGCGUAAAGGGCGCGUAGGCGGAUUUGGAAGUCGGGUGUGAAAUCCCUGGGCUCAACCUAGGAACUGCAUUCGAAACUCCAAGUCUAGAGUGACGGAGAGGAAAGCGGAAUUCCCGGUGUAGAGGUGAAAUUCGUAGAUAUCGGGAGGAACACCAGAGGCGAAGGCGGCUUUCUGGACGUCUACUGACGCUGAGGCGCGAAAGCUGGGGGAGCGAACGGGAUUAGAUAUCCGCGUAGUCCCUGAG